rnacentral:rRNA from 1 species
AGCGUAGACGGAGCAGCAAGUCUGAUGUGAAAGGCGGGGGCUCAACCCCCGGACUGCAUUGGAAACUGUUGAUCUUGAGUACCGGAGAGGUAAGCGGAAUUCCUAGUGUAGCGGUGAAAUGCGUAGAUAUUAGGAGGAACACCAGUGGCGAAGGCGGCUUACUGGACGGUAACUGACGUUGAGGCUCGAAAGUGUGGGGAGCAAACA